UUAUUUUUUGGAAACCUCAUCAAUUUUACUCUUAGGAAUCCUCUUCACUCACAAACCCUAAUCCUCUUCCUCUCCAAAAACCUCAAACCUUCACUCUUCAUUCACGACACCCUCAAACUCUUCACUCUUCUAUGUAAACCCUUCCCUUCACUCUUUACUCUUUUCGUGAAACCCUUCACUCUCACCGCAAACACUCUCGCUCACUUUCACAGUCACUAUUCUCGCCAAAGCCUCUCUCAUGCCCUCUCACUCUCACGCAAACACUCGGUCUCCGCAAACCCUCUCACCGCAAAACCUAACACUCCUUCACAGAAAACCAUUGUCGCCGUUUGUUCUGUCCGCCAUCGCCGUUGGCAACCAAGUAGAGGAUGCUCAAGCCCAUGAAGCCCAAGCUCAACAAGGGGCCCAAGCCCAACAAGGGGCCCAAGCCCAACGAAUCACUAGGAGCAUGGCAAGAGCUUUGGAACAAGAGUAUCAAAAGAUGGCUCUUCUUAUUUCUUUUGUAGAGUAGGGGUGCGGAUGUAAUAAAUAGGUGUGUAAGUAGUAAGGGAUGUUAGGGGGAGUGUAGAUAGGAGUUAGGAGGUGCCAAACUAGGAAGGAAAGUCACACUUCCUUCAUGCACUAGUUGGCGCCGAAUUUGAGUCUCAUUUGAGGCACAUUUGGCUUUGCAUUUCAGCACCUUAUAGGCUAUAAAUAAAGGUGCUGCCCUUGUACAAUUCAGAUUUGGAAUUUAGAAGUAGAGAGACUAUACUCAAAUUUAGAGAGAAAUUGUGAGUCUUGAGUCUUCUUCUUCCUUUGCCUUAUCUUGUGUGCAAUGGUGAGCUUCAAGUGGCGGCAAUCCUUCACUUAUCUUGGAACAAGGCUCCAAGUGGCGUGAAUUGCUUCUCCAAAUCUCAACAUCCAGCAAGUUUAACUCCAUAAGUGUUUCUUCUUUCAUUCCUUUCCAUUCCAUUCGGUAGUUUAUCAUUUCUUAGUGUUUCCUUUCAUUUGCACCGAUUAAAAUUGUGUUUCCAGCUUUGUUUCCAUUGUUCUGUUCGGUACAGUAGCUUAGUAUUACUUUUCUGUCCAGCUUUCAUUUCUUGUUCCUCAUUCCUUGUUGUUUGAUUCCAUUUGACAAUAUAUGGACUUCCAUAUGAGCUUUGGUUUGGUGCCAAGUUUUGGUGAGUUCUUGAAUUAGAACAUUGAUCCAAUUCUAAGUAAAGUGCCAUUUCAUGACCAACUCAAGUUGCUCUUAAGAAUGUCAAACAAUCAUGUAUUCUUGUUAUUGCAUUCACAUCACUAUUCUCGCCAAAGCCUCUCUCAUGCCCUCUCACUCUCACGCAAACACUCGGUCUCCGCAAACCCUCUCACCGCAAAACCUAACACUCCUUCACAGAAAACCAUUGUCGCCGUUUGUUCUGUCCGCCAUCACCGCCGGCUUGAAGGACGCCCUCCGCGCAACGAUUUCAAAAGUUCAUCAUCGCAACAACUACGAUUUUGAUGAUUCUUGGUUUGGUUUCUAAAUUGGAUUCCCAAUUCGUUUAUAAUUUGAUUGUCGUGCACUCUUCCUCCUUUACUGAAAUGGUUUGCGGGACAUUUGAUAUUCUCGUAUCAUUCAUUUUUGUGCCAAUGAUGAAGUCAAUAGGCUUGAGGUAGUUAGAGAGGGCGAUGAUGUUUUUGGUUAACAGAGUUGCAGAUCUAACAAUUAUACUAAAUAUUUUCAGAACAGUAGGUACAAAAUGAAGUCUCAAAGGGUGUAUUGACUCGUGAGCAGGGGAGGGAGUCCUCUUUGUGAGCUUGAUCUAUGGUCUUAUCAAUUUUAGAGGUUGUGCGAUUACGAACGAAGAUGGGAAGCAACCUCAUGUGGAGACAAAUUCUUCAGCAAGAGACAAAGAG
rnacentral:lncRNA from 1 species